rnacentral:rRNA from 1 species
UUUGAAUAAAAGUAGGUAUGUUCUCCAUAACUCAAAGAAUUUGGCGGCUAUUAAUAUUUUAGAGGAACCUGUAUUUAAAUUGAUAAACCACGAUAGUUUUUACUUUUUAUUAAUUUGUAUAUCUCUAUAUCUAUAAAUAUUUCACAAGGAUAUUUUUAUUAAGAUUGUUCAUUAAAAUUAGGUCAAGGUGCAGUUUUAAAAAAGUUAAUAUGGGUUACUUUUUUUUUAAUUAAUAUAAUCUUUUUAUUUGUUUAAAAUAUUUAAUUUUUAGGAUUUAAAAGUAAUAUAAAUUAAUUUAUUUAUAUGAAUAUU